CUAGCAACCCCAGAUGGGUUGAUGGUGAACUGGUUAUCCUAGAUGGAAAGUACAUUAAAGGAGGGCCUGUUGUGGGUUUUGUCUACUGGGAUCCUGAAUAUCAUUUCUUAGUGUUCUUCCAUCGACUUAGGCUGCAGGAGUGAACAUCUCUGUAGAUACAAUCUGUG